ACAUUUAGAGAUCAGCAGGUGGCGGUAUUGUACCUGUAGUUGGUCUGCCAGCAUUACCUGAAAAGAAGUAGGUGAAGAAGAAAAACAAAGAUGGAGCGCGAGGCAGGAGGAGGACAGAUUGUUUCCUGGACUCUUUAAAAAGAACAGUUCAAUACCUGGAAAAAGGCAGUAAAGAUAUUUACUUUCUCUGUUGGACAAAGUGACUGACCGACCGUAUCCCCAAGACAGGAGAAGAGAUGGUACCUCUCCAAGCUGCGCUGCGCUGACCACUACGGUGGUCACUGAACUUCCUCUGACACUUUAAAGACGCUUAUGAAUUUCCACCUCAACGCCAUCCAGGGGACCCACACACCUUCCAUCUGCAGCAACAUGUUC